rnacentral:Y_RNA from 1 species
GGCUGGUCCAAGUGUAGUGGUGUUUACAACUGAUCACAACCAGUUACAGGUUCCUUUGUUCCUCCUCCACUCCCACUGCUUCACUUGCCUUGCCUAAA